UUAAGUCCCGCAACGAGCGCAACCCCUUGUCUCUAGUUACCAUCGAUUCAGUUGGGGGACUCUAGAGAUACUGCCAAGGGUUAACUUGGAGGAAGUGGGGAUGAACGUCAAGUCCUCAUGGCCUUUAUGUCCAGGGCUACACACGUGCUACAAUGGACGGUACAGAGGGUCGCAAUAUCGCGAGAUGGAGCCAAUCCCAAAAAGCCGUUCCCAGUUCGGAUUGGAGUCUGCAACUCGACUCCAUGAAGUUGGAAUCGCUAGUAAUCGCGGAUCAGCAUGCCGCGGUGAAUACGUUCCCGGGCCUU
rnacentral:rRNA from 1 species